CAACAACAAUAAUAAUAAUAAUAAUAAUAAACGGAGCAGAAACAAUAGGGUCCUCUCACCAUUGGUGCUCGGGCCCUAAUAAUAAUAGUAAUGGACAACUGGUUCCCAUAGAGGCAAAUUAGGCAUUUUUUGUUUUAUUUUAAUGCCAGGUAAAAGAGCACAGGUGUGGUGAUAUUUAAAUAGCAAUAAUAAUAAUAAUAAUAAUAAUAAUUAUAAUAACUUUGCUUAAACCUCACAAAUUUUAAAUUGUCGCUCACGUGCAAAGCCCCACGCAACAACCUGGCAGAAUGUAAACUGAUGUUUGUGUGACGUGUUGAGUGCGAGCAAAACUGACGUCUCUCAUAGUGGAUCACUACCUAGACGCCAGCUGCGAGAUUUUCUGAGUGUUGAUUGUCAUCUGAUUGUGAGCUAACUACAGCCCAAAGGCUCUUUUAAGAGCCACAAGCACUGAGGAUCUUUGGCUUUCCAACCUCAACCAAGAUGUCGGUUGAGCAGGAGAUGACAUUGCCUACCACAUCACAGGUGAUCAUGCUAGGGAGUAGUCUGCUGUUUGCAACCUACUGGAUGGUCAGAAUUGAGGGGAAGGUCUUCUAUGAAGCUAACCAACUUCAUAACUUUGCCAGUGCUUUCGCUGUCUUUUUCGGCUCCUUUUAUGUGUUCAAUCUGGAGUAUCAGGAGCCAGCAUCCACUACGCUGGAGACAGU